CACGCUGGAGGCGGUCACAGAUAGCGCGCACCCCACGCGCAAAAGAGCCCCUGGCCGGGCUAAAAAGGCUAGAUUAUGGAAACGGGCUAGAGCCCUGGAUGAUGUGUCGGAUACCGACCGGAGUGUGGAGGACGAAUCCGACUUUAUGGAAUACGAUUCCUUUGAUGAGGGUGAAUCUGGCGAGGAUUUGCCCCUUACGGGCGUGACCCCCUCAGGGUCCUCUGCCAAGGCCUCUGGGGAUACCAAAGUGAUUCUUGACCCACAGGGUAACCCCCUGUCCGACCCGGAUGACCUACGACACCCCCGGUCUGCUGAAUGGGUCCCCCCUGAUCAUAUUGCCCAGUAUGUGGCUAAGCGUAUUCGCAC